GAUGAACGCUAGCGGCAGGCUUAACACAUGCAAGUCGAGGGGUAACAGGGAGAAGCUUGCUUUUCCGCUGACGACCGGCGCACGGGUGCGUAACGCGUAUAGAACCUACCUUUUACAGAGGAAUAGCCCAGAGAAAUUUGGAUUAAUGCCUCAUAGUAUUAUAGAAUGGCAUCAUUUUAUAAUUAAACAUUUAUGGGUAAAAGAUGGCUAUGCGUUCUAUUAGCUAGUUGGUAAGGUAACGGCUUACCAAGGCUACGAUAGAUAGGGGUCCUGAGAGGGAGAUCCCCCACACUGGUACUGAGACACGGACCAGACUCCUACGGGAGGCAGCAGUGAGGAAUAUUGGACAAUGGAGGCAACUCUGAUCCAGCCAUGCCGCGUGCAGGAAGACGGCCCUAUGGGUUGUAAACUGCUUUUAUAUAGGAAGAAACCUUUCCACGUGUGGAAAGCUGACGGUACUAUAAGAAUAAGCACCGGCUAACUCCGUGCCAGCAGCCGCGGUAAUACGGAGGGUGCAAGCGUUAUCCGGAAUCAUUGGGUUUAAAGGGUCCGUAGGCGGACUAAUAAGUCAGGGGUGAAAUCCAACAGCUUAACUGUUGAACUGCCUUUGAUACUGUUAGUCUUGAAUUAUAUGGAAGUAGAUAGAAUGUGUAGUGUAGCGGUGAAAUGCUUAGAGAUUACACAGAAUACCGAUUGCGAAGGCAGUCUACUACGUAU
rnacentral:rRNA from 1 species